GAAAAGAAACUAACAAGGAUUCCCCUAGUAACUGCGAGUGAGCGGGAAAAGCUCAAAUUUGAAAUCUGGCAGUCUUUUUUUUCUUCUUUGGCUGUCUGAGUUGUAAUCUAGAGAAGUGCUUACCUGCGCUGGACCAUGUAUAAGUCUCCUGGAAUGGAGCGUCACAGAGGGUGAGAAUCCCGUCUUUGACAUGGACUGCCGGUGUGUUGUGGUGCGCUCUCAAAGAGUCGAGUUGUUUGGGAAUGCAGCUCUAAAUGGGUGGUAAACUCCAUCUAAAGCUAAAUAUUGGCGAGAGACCGAUAGCGAACAAGUACCGUGAGGGAAAGAUGAAAAGGACUUUGGAAAGAGAGUUAAACAGUAUGUGAAAUUGUUGAAAGGGAAACGCUUGAAGUCAGUUAUGUUGGCUAGGGAUCAGCCUGGCUAUUUUUUGCUGGGUGAAUUUCCUAGUCUGACAGGCCAACAUCAGUUUCUGACUGCCAGAAAAGAGCAAAGGGAAUGUGGCACCUUUGGGUGUGUUAUAGCCUUUUGUCAUAUGUGGCAGUUGGGACUGAGGGAUGCAGCAUGCCGUGAGGCUGGGUUUCGACCACGUUCAUGCUUAGGAUGUUGGCUUUUAAUGGCUUCAAUCGACCCGUCUUGAC
rnacentral:rRNA from 1 species